rnacentral:lncRNA from 1 species
AGAGUUAUAGGGCCCCGCGUUAAGUCCAUGAGCUUCCGUGAGGGUACUCUGCCGGUUUUGCUGCGGAAGUCACCUCGUGGCGUAGGGGAGAGGUAACACCGAGAAGAGGCAGCGGCGGUGGCGCCAAGACGAUUGGUGCCAAACAGGGCAGAACGCAACUCAGCUCUGGGUUUGUGAAUAGCACAAUGGAAGAAGCUGGACUUUGUGGGUUAAGAGAGAAAGCAGAUAUGUUGUGUAACUCUGAAUCACAUGAUAUUCUUCAACAUCAAGACUCAAAUUGCAGUGCCACAAGUAAUAAACAUUUAUUGGAAGAUGAAGAAGGCCGUGACUUUAUAACAAAGAACAGGAGUUGGGUGAGCCCAGUGCACUGCACACAAGAGUCAAGAAGGGAGCUUCCUGAGCAAGAAGUAGCCCCUCCGUCUGGUCAGCAAGCUUUACAAUGCAACAGGAACAAAGAAAAAGUCUUAGAGAGACAAGGUCUUUCCCUGUCACCCAGGCUGGAGCGCGGUGGUACAUUCAUGGGUCAUGGCAGCCUUAAACUCCCUGAGCUCGUGAUCCUGUCUCUUCAGACUCUAGAGUAGCUGGGGCUACAGGCGUACACCACCACACAUGGCUAAUUUUUUAUUUUUCUUUUGUUGUAGAGAUGGGCUGUCAUUCUCUUGCCCAGGCUGGUCUUGGUAUACUGUCCUGUAGCAGUAUAUUUUGGCUACCUGUACUGGCAUUGGCUUUUCCAAGUGUCAAGAUUACAGAAGUUUUAUUAUUGAUGCAAGCCCUAAACACUCUUUCGACUCCAGAGGAGAAGCUGGCAGCUCUCUGUAAGAAAUAUGCUGAUCUUGGAAAUUCACCUCUUCUAUAGAAGAGUUUGUUUUGAACUAUACGAUUUGAAACAAAAUUCUUUUUUUGGAGACUAUGGAAACAUUCUCAACAGGGAAACCCUACUAGACUUUGUAAAGCAAAUAAUGGAAAAGAUACAGAACUUUUUGAAGAAUCAUGGGAAAUU